rnacentral:lncRNA from 1 species
CCGCCCAAAUGGAUAGCUGUUCUUGGAUGUCAGUGCAUAGCCAUCCUCCGAAGAAGUUCCAAAAUCCGCCUGGUCAUAAGAUUUGGGGCGUGAACGUUCUUUCUUGCUCUGCAAGUAGUUCACCAGAUCAACCUCAAUACGAGGGGUUUUGAUCUUCAGGGCUCUCCUCAAGAGGUUUUGAUCUUCAACUGACAAACUGAGAAUAAAAUUUAGCACUGCUGUUGAAUCAAAGUGAGAAUAAACAGAUAUGAUACCAGAAAUAGAUGCCUCCUUCAAUUUUGCAUUCUUUUCAUUUACCAAAGGUGCCAAUUUUGAAAGCCAUA